rnacentral:rRNA from 1 species
CACGUAGUUAGCCGGAGCUUCCUCCUCUGCUACCGUCAUCAUCUUCACAGAGGACAGAGGUUUACAAUCCGAAAACCGUCUUCCCUCACGCGGCGUUGCUGGUUCAGGGUUUCCCCCAUUGACCAAUAUCCCUUACUGCUGCCUCCCGUAGGAGUCUGGGCCGCGUCUCAGUCCCAAUGUGGCCGUCCAACCUCUCAGUCCGGCUACCGAUCGUCGGCUUGGUCGGGCCGUUACCCCACCAACUACCUAAUCGGACGCGAGCCCAUCUUUCAGCGGAUUGCUCCUUUGAUUAUCCUACCAUGCGAUAAGAUAAUGUCAUGCGGUAUUAGCGUUCGUUUCCAAACGUUAUCCCCCUCUGAAAGGCAGGUUGCUCACGUCGUUACUCACCCGUCCGCACCUAAGAUAUCCAAGAUUACACUUACCGAAGUUACUUCAUCAGCGAAUAUCUCCGUUCGACUUGCUAUGUAUUAGGCACGCCGCCAGUCCGU